GGGUUGGACUGGAUGAUCUCCAGAAGUCUCUUCCAACUCCUACCAUAUUAUGAUUCUGUGUAGAUAAAGAAUUGUUGAAUUACAGCAUAGGGGAUGUUGGAAGGGACCUCUGGAGAUCAUCUAGUCCAACCCAUCUGCUAGAGAAGGAUCACCUAGAGUAAAUCAAACAGGAUUGCAUACAAGUGGGUUUGGAAUACCUCCAGAGAUGGUUGCUCCACAACCUUUCCGGUCAGCAUGUCCCAGUCUUAUGUUACCUUGAAAGUGAAGAAGCUUUCCUGAUGUUCACAUGGAAUCUGAUAUGUUCCAGUUUGCAACUGUUGCCCCUUGUCCUGUCACUGGACAUCACUGAGAAUGAUCUUGUUCUAUCUUCCUGACAUUUACCCUUUAGAUAUUGAUCAGCAUUAUGAGAUCCCUUCUCAGUUUUCCUCCACACACACUUCUUCUGCUUAUUGCCUGACUUGACUCUCUGAGUCUUCGCAUUUUCCCUGUAGGAAUUUUGAGGAAGACUGGUAAAGAUUCCCUUUAUUUCAAGACAUGGAGUGACAGGAUGAAGAGUAAUGGCUUCAAACUGGAAGAAGCUGGAUUGACAUGAGACAUGAGGAAGAAGUUCUUCCCCGUGAAGAUGGUGAGGCACUGGAACAAGUUGCCCAGAGAAGUUGUGGAGGCUCCAAGGGUGGAAGUGUUGAAAGCCAGGUUGUCUGGGGCUUUGAGCAACCUGGUUUAGUAGAAUGCCCAUGGCAUGGGAGGUGGUAAUAAAUGAUCUUGAGCAUCUCUUCCAACUCUAAAUUGAAAAGAAUAAAUACACUUGAAAUAGUACUACAGACACAUUUGUGGAUGAGUGGAAGGAGGCAAAACAGAAGGAGGCACAAAGAAGAUGAGAGAAGGGGUGGAAGUGGUGUUAUUUGAUUGUGUCCUUCACUUGUUGAGUCAGCAGGAGCCAAUAGCUAAGCAGAAUCACACCUGACUUUCCCAUUUAUGCACAGAAACCCCAUCUGGCCAACUAAAUUGCCAGCAAUUGAGAAGACAUGAAGGAAGCUGGAUCCAGCUAUUCUCAGCCAGUGUGAAGGUUACUGAGUUAUGGAGGCAGUGAGAGAGGAAAUGAGAAAAAUAUUCCGAGACUUCACCUCUCACAUGCACUGAAGGGAAGCAUCAAAUACAUCACCAAAUUUCAGCUGGUCACUGCUGUAGUGCUUAGGCACAUAAAAUGGAUCAUGGAAUCAUAGGAUGAUAAAGGUUGGAAGUGACCCCUGGAGAUAAUUGAGUCCAACCUCCCUGCCAGAGAACAUUCCCCCAGAGUAUGUUGCACAGGACUGUCCAGAGGGGUUUUGGAUGACUCCAGAGACAAAGACUUCACCACCUCUCUGGGAAGCGUGCUCCAGUGCUCUAUGACCCUCAAGCAAGUAAGUUCCUCCUCAUGUUUAGAUGGAACUUCCUUUGUUCAAGUUUGUACCCAUCACCCCUUGUCUGUCACUGGGAAUCACUGAAAAAGAGCUGGUCCCAUCCUCCUGACACUCAGUCUUUAAGUAUUGAUCAGCAUUGAUGAGAUCCCACUCAGUCUGCUCUUCUCCAGGCUUCUACAAUUCCAUGAUUUUAUGAUUCUAUGACUCCCUGGUUCUUUGACUUUUUCCUAGAAAAGAAAAAGAAAUGGCCAAUUAACUACAUUCUUUCCAGCAGUGUAGACAUCCUGAUGAUUAUUAAGUCAAGCUACACCAAAUAUUGAAGAGGGUGUGUCACACAAGCUGUCUGCUAAAAGCAAGUAGAAAAAAGUAGAUUAGCCUAUUCUAAACCCAGUGUUUUCUUAUGGAAUCAUAGAAUAGAUUGAGUUGGGAGAGAUGGUGAUGAUCAUCUAGUUCCAAUCCUGCUGCCAUGAGAAUGGACACUUUUGACUAGACCAUCUUGCUCAAAGCCUUAUCCAGCCUGGUCUUAAACACUUCCAGGGACAAGGCAUCCACAACUCUGGAUAACUUGUUCCAGGAUCACAGCACCCUCAUAGUAAAGAACUUCUUACUAAUGUCCAACCUAAAUCUACCCCACUAUAGUUUCAAAACAUUGUCCCUUGUCCUAACACCACAGGCUCGUAUAAACAGUCCCUCUCUUCUGCUUAUGGGACCUAAAACCAUUUUGCUAUGGCAAGUUUGUCUGUUUCCUUGGAAGAAGGAAAAGGGGGGGGAAAAAAAGAGAACCACUACAGAAAACCCCCACCAAGCAACCUAAACCAGAAAUAAAGGUGAGAAAGCAAAAAGUCUUUAAAAAAAAUGAAGCUUUGGGUUUUAUGGAUUUGACACUAUGCUGGCUUUUCCCCAAGAUUUCUGUAGAACAGUUUGUGGAGACAAAAUGUUCCUCCUAGGACAUACACUUCCCUAUGCCAAGUACACCAGGGCUUGGUAACACUCACACAGCCAACACAUCGUCAGUGUUUAAAGCCUCAUCUUAAAAAAGCACCCUCCAAGAAUUGUGGAGAAAGAUUUGGGUCGAUCCUACCUCAAGUGAAAUUGUUGGCUCAGAGAAUUCAAACAUCUCCAUGCUGUUUGGAACAGCAAGCUACUCCCUCUAGCUGCAUUUGAAGGAGACAUUUCUUCUGUUCAGGUGGCUGAGAUGGCCACCAGCAUCCUAGCUGGACAAGGAAUAGUGAAGCCAGUGGUAUCAGGGAAGUGAUUGUGCCCCAACUCAGCACUAGUGAGGCCACACCAUAAAUGCUGGGCAACAAAGCAGGUGAAGGGUCUGCAGAACAGGUCUGGUGAGGAGCAGCUGAUGGAACUGGGGAGAGAAGGCUUGGGAAAGAUCUCAUUGCUCUCUAUGACUAGCUGGAAGAACACUGGAAUGAGUUGGAGAUUGGUCUCUUCUCUGUAGUAUCAGGUGAUAGAAUGAGAGGACAUGGCUUAAAGUUGCAUCAGGGAGUUGCAAGAGUUGUAAGGGAUCAGAACAGGCUGCCCAGGGAGGUGGUGGAAUCUCCACCCCUGAAGAUUCUCUGAAAAAGUGUGGACAUGACACUCUGGGACAUGGCCUAAUGAGCAUGGUGGUGUUCGGUUGAUGUUUGGACUUGAUGAUCUUAGAGAUCUUUUCCAACUUCUGUGAUUCUGUGAUCAACUUCUUCCUCAAUUCUGCUUUUCAGUUGAUUUUGCUCUGUACUAACAAGGAUUUCUCUCUGUCUCCUUUGCACAUGGGGAAGAGAAGGAGAUAGGAAGCCUGAAACUGUGCCAUGGGAGGUUUAGGUUGGAUAUGAGGAGAAAUGUCUUUCCUAUAAGAGUGAUCAGGCAUUGCAACUGGUAGCUCAGGGAUGUGGUGGUAUCACUGUCCCUGGUGGUGUUCAAGAAACAUGUGGAUGUGGGCACACUGGGACAUGUUUCAAUGUCUGUGCUGGUGUUGGGUUGAUGGUUAGACUCAAUGAUCUCCUAAGUCUCUUCCUAGUGAAACAAUUCUAUGAUUCUCCCUUUCUUCCUUCCCUUGGAAACUGGUUUCUCUCACCUGCUGGCAAAUUGUGAAGAGAAAAGAAUGUUUAAGAUAAGUUAGUGAAAGAGAUGGGAAUAGAGAGCAAGAACUCAAAGCCUAAUUCGUGUGCCUGGAGGAUGAAACAGAAUUACAUAAAGUGAGGUUUCCCAUCUUAGACACCCACUAUUUUGCCUCCCACAGGAAAAUGCCUCUCAGAUAUUUUUAUGGUAAUAGUUUUUUCCCUGGUUGGAAAUGCCAAGAUAUCAGAAUCUUUUAAAAAAUAGAAUAAGAAAUUACUGCAUAUUCCAUACAGCUUCAGAUUUCCACCUAGGAUCACAGAAUCAAAGAAUUUGGAAGACACGUCUGGAGAUCAUCAAGUUCAAUACCCCUGCUCAAACAGGUUUGCCUAGAGGAGAUUGCACAGAAAUGUGUGCAGGUGUUUUAGGAGUAACUCCAGAGAGGAGACUUCAGCAACCUGGUCUAGUGGGAGAUGUCCCUGCCCUUGGCAGAGGAGUUGGAACUGGAUGAUCUUGAAGGUCCCUCCCAACUCCACAGGCAUCCAUAACUUUCUGGGCAACCUGUUCCAGUGUCUCACCACCCUCAUAGUAAAUAUCAUUAAAUAACUUAAUUAUGAUAAAUAAUAGAUUACAACUUAGGAAGUUCUUCAGUACAAGGGCAGUGAGCCUCUGGAGCAGGUUGCCCAGAAUGUUUGUGGGUGUCUUCUCCCUGGAGGUGUCCAAGGCCAGGUUGGAUAAGGCCUUGAGCAAUCCAGUCUAGUGGGAGGAAUCCCUGACCACAUCAGGGAGGUUGGAGUAGAGGAUCUCUAAGGUCCUGUCCAAUCUAAGACAUUCAUCAGUUACUAAGCUGGUGAGGUGCCUGGAGAACAAGUCCUCUGAGGAAUGGCUGAGGCAGCUGGGGCUGUUUAGUCUACAAAAAAAGGAGCCUAAGAGGAGACCUUCUUUCACUCUACAACUACCUGAAAGGAGGUUGCAGAAAGGUAGGCAUUGGUCUCUUUUCAUAAGUGACUAAUGAUAGAAUGAGAAGGAAUGGCCUCAGGCUACACCAGGGGAGGUUUAGCCUGGGCGUUAGGAAGGAUUUUUUUUCCUGGGAAGGGUUGUGAGGCACUGGAAUGGGCUGCCCAGGGAGGUGGUUGAGUUGCCAUCCCCAGACAUGUUUAGAAGCCAUCUAGAUCUGGUGCUUGAGGACAUAGUGUAGUGACAGACUUUGUGGUGUAGGCAAAAUGGCUGGACAUGAUCUCAGAGGUCCUUUCUGACCUAGAUCAGAGGUCUUGAUGGUUGGACUCCAUGACCUCAGACAUCUUUUCCAACCCAAACAAUUCUAUGAUUCUGUGACUCUAUGGCUGAAACACAUUAUACCAGGGACACAACAAUCCUGACUUUCGAAAAUAAAGUCUUCUUCUGUAAAUAAUACCCUACUGGAGAAGGAAAUUGUCAUUCAGCAUUUCUGUGCUGGAUCAGAGAUGCAUUAAAAAUGGAAAAGCAGAGCAUUUUGAACAUAAAAAGCUGAGUAAGCACAAGAGAAGUGAAAGAUUUUGACAGCCAAGGAGUUAGACAUGAAAGCAAAGGAACCAUAGUAGGAAUGUCUUUGUGCAAGAAUCUCUGCAGAGCUAACUGGAGUUGUGAGAUGGCGUUUCAGGGUACGUCUCCUCAGGACACCACUGCCAUACAGCUGGAGUUGACAAGGGAAAGUUCAGGUGGGGAUAAAUUACUCCAAAGCAAACCUGGAGACAGUAGGACAAGACAGCAACAGGUACUUCUGUGUUUGCUUUGUGUGCCUGUAAGAUAUACACAGCACUUUCAAACAAGAGAAGAAAGAAAAAAGAAUCAAAGAAAUGCUCACCUUGGUGUGAUUAACAAAAAUACUACCAUGUAUCACCCACGACACUUCUGACUGACAGCUUCUGAAACCAAGAUUGACAAGACGUAGGAUGUAAUGAGUGGGAAGAGGACUGGAAGCGUUCAGCUUGAAGAAGAGAGAGCUGCCUUCACAAUAGCACUGAGAAGUUGUUGCAGUCAUCUGUUAGAGCGUUUGGAGGAGAAUAUGAUAAACAGUGUCUGUGUAAAAGACUCUCAAAUUUUGUAAAUGUCUGCUUUUAAAAGUUAUAAUUUGUAUUUAUGGAUCCUCCUAGCCUCACAUUUGCUUUUGAAGGACAGUGCAAUAUUGAUGUUUUUCAUAAGAAAUUAAGUGAUAGGAAGGGAAAGAUGGAUAAUAAUCAUCAGUGAAUGGACAGCAGCUUGAGAUUAUGUCCACAGUGAGGAAAAAAAUAGUCAAUGAGGCUCUGAGAACUGACAGUCUUAGUUUCUGAGAUCAAGUGCAAAUGACCAGCUCAUUUCUUUGAACCAGAGAAUCACUGAAUGACAGGCAUAGACACAGAAUGCCCACUUGAAAGGGACCUCAAAGAUCAUUCAGGCCAACACUCAGCCAAGCACUGAUGAAUCAACACAUGAUAAAAUAAUAGACUCACAGAAUCACUGAGUGAUCAAAUAAUGGAACCAUUGAAUCGUUGCAUGAUAGAAUCAUGGAAUCAUAGAAUCAUGGAAUCAUGGAAUGAUAGAAUCAAGGACUCACAAAAUCAUAGAAUCAUGGAAUCAUUGAAUGAUAGAAUCAUGGACUCAUAGAAUCACAAAAUCAUGGAAUCAUAGAAUGAUGGAAUUAUGUAACCAUAGAAUCACAAAAUCAUGGAAUCACAGAAUCAGAGAAUUGUGGAGUCAUAGAUUGGUAGGGCUUGGAAGGAACCUCCAGAGAUCAUCUAGUCAAAUCCCCUUGCUAAAUCAGGAUCACCCAAAGCAGGUUGCCCAGGGUGAGAUUGAAUGCCUUCAGAGAAGGGGACUCUACAAUGUCUCUGAGCAGUCUGAUUCAGUGCUUUGCCAUGCUCAAAGUAAAGAAGUUUCUCCUUAAGUUUGAGUGAAAUCUCCUGUGUUCUAGUCUGUACCCAUUGCCCCCUGUCCUAUCACUCAUCCUAUUUCCACACUGGUUAGAGACAGCCAGUGUGUAUGGGCUCCCCAGAUCCACACUGCAACAGUUCUAUAUUCUUCUUAUUCUUGGGGACACAGAACUGGACUUAGCAGUGUUAGGUUUGUGAUUGGGUUCUUUGACCUUAUGAGUCUUUUCCAACCUAACCAAUUCUGUGAUUUUAUGACUUCAUGAUUCUAUAAGCUGCAGAAGUAACUGCCACAACAUGGAGCUACCAUGUUUCAUGACUCACAACUGUGGCAAUCAAAUUACUGUUACAUAUAGGAAAUCCAUCUUUGGAUUCCCAAGAACCAAUUUCACACUAAAAUCAUCACAAAUGCUGUUUAGUAUCAUUUUUUUUUGUCUUAUACUCUCUGUCUGAAUUAACCCUACUUGCUGUGGUGUUAGCUCUAAAUUCAGAGACAUGUUGGUUUUGUGUAAUAAAAAAGAAACAGAAAAUUAAGUGGGAUACGAAUCAGACGAGUUUCCUUGGGUGGUGAAAGCCAACUAAAUCCUCAGGAUAAAAUGACAUUGCUUCAGUAUAGGAAUCUUAAAGGUCUAGAGACAUUUGGACACUGCAGUUGCUACUAGAGCUUGGAGAAAACAAGCCAUAUCGUAUAGGUUAUUUGAGAUGUCUUCAGCUUUUCUCCUCUGAUAUGAAAGCAGGAAAGUUCAAACAGGUCCAAAAGUCUAUAAAUAAACCAUACUGUAUCA